rnacentral:rRNA from 1 species
CACCGGAUCCCAUCAGAACUCCGAAGUUAAGCGUGCUUGGGCGAGAGUAGUACUAGGAUGGGUGACCUCCUGGGAAGUCCUCGUGCUGCACCCCU